rnacentral:misc_RNA from 1 species
GGGCAAAACAUGACUCUCUACAAACAAAUUAACUUCCUCUAUAAACCUUGCCUUUGUUUAACUUAAUUUCCUCCUAUACUCUUCAGUUUUAUCUCUAUAUAAAACAAGCACAGCAAAUCACUUACGUGAGAUUAUUACAAAACAUAAACCAUGCCAACCUCUAGAAGAGACCCUGGUGGAACUUUGAGUGCCACGUCUGGCCCCCUGCAGUUCCUUCCAAGGAAAUUAUACCCAAAAUUAACAGCCAAUCUCUUCAGGAGAGAUGACCCUUUUUUCGCUUGAACAUGCGAAUGCCCUAGUAUAAAUGCAGUACCAGCUUGUUGAGCUGCAAAAAGAUCUUCCAGCUCCUCUUUUAACUGCAAAUGCAUAUCAGAUUGUGGAUCAUCAUCAAUGGCAAACCUCACUCUUCUUUGAAAUAUAGGUUCCAUUUCAAUAACUUCAGCCAUACUCUCUGCAGCCGAAAAUCCACCAGACACACUUGCUUGUUGCACAGUCUCCUCAAUUUCAUAAGCUGGUGUACCAGAGAAUGGUGUGGUUCCAAUUACUGCCAAUCUAUAUUCACUUGAGGAUUCAUUGGAUCGAGAUGCAUCAUCCUCAGUACACGAGUUAGUUCCAUGUGCUCGAUGCCAAUCAUAGUUGAUGAAAUCAGCCAGCCUAGCUACAAGCUCAGAUUCAAAAGAAUCAACAUCCUGAUGCACGUCACGGUAUCCAUAACGAACAAUGCAUCUGUAAGAUCUAUGAGAUGGAGGGCCAACACGGCCCACAAGAUACCUCUCAUUAGGGGGCACGUAAGGGACAGGCACUGAUUUUACACACACAAAUACAAGGAUACG